AUUGAACGCUGGCGGCAUGCCUUACACAUGCAAGUCGAACGGCAGCACGGGAGCAAUCCUGGUGGCGAGUGGCGAACGGGUGAGUAACGUGUCGGAACGUACCAUUCAGUGGGGGAUAACGUAGCAAAAGUUACGCUAAUACCGCAUAUUCUGUGAGCAGGAAAGCAGGGGAUCGCAAGACCUUGCGCUGAUUGAGCGGCCGAUAUCAGAUUAGCUAGUUGGUGAGGUAAAGGCUCACCAAGGCGACGAUCUGUAGCGGGUCUGAGAGGAUGAUACGCCACACUGGAACUGAGACACGGUCCAGACUGCUGCGGGAGGCAGCAGUGGGGAAUUUUGGACAAUGGGCGCAAGCCUGAUCCAGCCAUGCCGCGUGAGUGAAGAAGGCCUUCGGGUUGGAAAGCUCUUUCGGCCGGGAAGAAAUCGCAUGGGUUAAUACCCUGUGCGGAUGACGGUACCGGCAUAAGAAGCACCGGCUAACAACGUGCCAGCCGCCGCCGUAACAC
rnacentral:rRNA from 1 species